GGGUUGUGAGGUUAAGCGACUAAGCGUACACGGUGGAUGCCCUGGCAGUCAGAGGCGAUGAAGGACGUGCUAAUCUGCGAUAAGCGUCGGUAAGGUGAUAUGAACCGUUAUAACCGGCGAUUUCCGAAUGGGGAAACCCAGUGUGAUUCGUCACACUAUCAUUAACUGAAUCCAUAGGUUAAUGAGGCGAACCGGGGGAACUGAAACAUCUAAGUACCCCGAGGAAAAGAAAUCAACCGAGAUUCCCCCAGUAGCGGCGAGCGAACGGGGAGGAGCCCAGAGCCUGAAUCAGUGUGUGUGUUAGUGGAAGCGUCUGGAAAGGCGCGCGAUACAGGGUGACAGCCCCGUACACAAAAAUGCACAUACUGUGAGCUCGAUGAGUAGGGCGGGACACGUGGUAUCCUGUCUGAAUAUGGGGGGACCAUCCUCCAAGGCUAAAUACUCCUGACUGACCGAUAGUGAACCAGUACCGUGAGGGAAAGGCGAAAAGAACCCCGGCGAGGGGAGUGAAAAAGAACCUGAAACCGUGUACGUACAAGCAGUGGGAGCACGCUUCGGCGUGUGACUGCGUACCUUUUGUAUAAUGGGUCAGCGACUUAUAUUCUGUAGCAAGGUUAACCGAAUAGGGGAGCCGAAGGGAAACCGAGUCUUAACUGGGCGUUAAGUUGCAGGGUAUAGACCCGAAACCCGGUGAUCUAGCCAUGGGCAGGUUGAAGGUUGGGUAACACUAACUGGAGGACCGAACCGACUAAUGUUGAAAAAUUAGCGGAUGACUUGUGGCUGGGGGUGAAAGGCCAAUCAAACCGGGAGAUAGCUGGUUCUCCCCGAAAGCUAUUUAGGUAGCGCCUCGUGAAUUCAUCUCCGGGGGUAGAGCACUGUUUCGGCAAGGGGGUCAUCCCGACUUACCAACCCGAUGCAAACUGCGAAUACCGGAGAAUGUUAUUACGGGAGACACACGGCGGGUGCUAACGUCCGUCGUGAAGAGGGAAACAACCCAGACCGCCAGCUAAGGUCCCAAAGUCAUGGUUAAGUGGGAAACGAUGUGGGAAGGCCCAGACAGCCAGGAUGUUGGCUUAGAAGCAGCCAUCAUUUAAAGAAAGCGUAAUAGCUCACUGGUCGAGUCGGCCUGCGCGGAAGAUGUAACGGGGCUAAACCAUGCACCGAAGCUGCGGCAGCGACACUAUGUGUUGUUGGGUAGGGGAGCGUUCUGUAAGCCUGUGAAGGUGUGCUGUGAGGCAUGCUGGAGGUAUCAGAAGUGCGAAUGCUGACAUAAGUAACGAUAAAGCGGGUGAAAAGCCCGCUCGCCGGAAGACCAAGGGUUCCUGUCCAACGUUAAUCGGGGCAGGGUGAGUCGACCCCUAAGGCGAGGCCGAAAGGCGUAGUCGAUGGGAAACAGGUUAAUAUUCCUGUACUUGGUGUUACUGCGAAGGGGGGACGGAGAAGGCUAUGUUGGCCGGGCGACGGUUGUCCCGGUUUAAGCGUGUAGGCUGAUUUUCCAGGCAAAUCCGGAAAAUCAAGGCUGAGGCGUGAUGACGAGGCACUACGGUGCUGAAGCAACAAAUGCCCUGCUUCCAGGAAAAGCCUCUAAGCAUCAGGUAACAUCAAAUCGUACCCCAAACCGACACAGGUGGUCAGGUAGAGAAUACCAAGGCGCUUGAGAGAACUCGGGUGAAGGAACUAGGCAAAAUGGUGCCGUAACUUCGGGAGAAGGCACGCUGAUAUGUAGGUGAAGCGACUUGCUCGUGGAGCUGAAAUCAGUCGAAGAUACCAGCUGGCUGCAACUGUUUAUUAAAAACACAGCACUGUGCAAACACGAAAGUGGACGUAUACGGUGUGACGCCUGCCCGGUGCCGGAAGGUUAAUUGAUGGGGUUAGCGGUAACGCGAAGCUCUUGAUCGAAGCCCCGGUAAACGGCGGCCGUAACUAUAACGGUCCUAAGGUAGCGAAAUUCCUUGUCGGGUAAGUUCCGACCUGCACGAAUGGCGUAAUGAUGGCCAGGCUGUCUCCACCCGAGACUCAGUGAAAUUGAACUCGCUGUGAAGAUGCAGUGUACCCGCGGCAAGACGGAAAGACCCCGUGAACCUUUACUAUAGCUUGACACUGAACAUUGAGCCUUGAUGUGUAGGAUAGGUGGGAGGCUUUGAAGUGUGGACGCCAGUCUGCAUGGAGCCGACCUUGAAAUACCACCCUUUAAUGUUUGAUGUUCUAACGUUGGCCCCUGAUCGGGGUUGCGGACAGUGUCUGGUGGGUAGUUUGACUGGGGCGGUCUCCUCCUAAAGAGUAACGGAGGAGCACGAAGGUUGGCUAAUCCUGGUCGGACAUCAGGAGGUUAGUGCAAUGGCAUAAGCCAGCUUGACUGCGAGCGUGACGGCGCGAGCAGGUGCGAAAGCAGGUCAUAGUGAUCCGGUGGUUCUGAAUGGAAGGGCCAUCGCUCAACGGAUAAAAGGUACUCCGGGGAUAACAGGCUGAUACCGCCCAAGAGUUCAUAUCGACGGCGGUGUUUGGCACCUCGAUGUCGGCUCAUCACAUCCUGGGGCUGAAGUAGGUCCCAAGGGUAUGGCUGUUCGCCAUUUAAAGUGGUACGCGAGCUGGGUUUAGAACGUCGUGAGACAGUUCGGUCCCUAUCUGCCGUGGGCGCUGGAGAACUGAGGGGGGCUGCUCCUAGUACGAGAGGACCGGAGUGGACGCAUCACUGGUGUUCGGGUUGUCAUGCCAAUGGCACUGCCCGGUAGCUAAAUGCGGAAGAGAUAAGUGCUGAAAGCAUCUAAGCACGAAACUUGCCCCGAGAUGAGUUCUCCCUGACUCCUUGAGAGUCCUGAAGGAACGUUGAAGACGACGACGUUGAUAGGCCGGGUGUGUAAGCGCAGCGAUGCGUUGAGCUAACCGGUACUAAUGAACCGUGAGGCUUAACCUUACAACGCCGAAGGUGUUU
rnacentral:rRNA from 1 species